ACCACCGGCNCAAGGCUCAGUAACACGUUGAUAAUCUACCCUUAGGUCUGGGAUACUCUCGGGAAACUGAGGUUAAACCCGGAUAGAAGAUUGAUGUUGGAAUGCACUUUCUUUUAAAAGCAAUGCCUAAGGAUGAGUCAGUGGCUGAUUAGGUNGAUGGUGAGGUAAUGGCUCACCAAGCCUGAGAUCAGUAGGGGGGAUGAGAGUCCUAGCCCCGAGAAGGGCACUGAGGUACUGGCCCUAGCACUAGGGUGUGCAGCAGGCGCGAAAACUUUACAAUGCGCGAAAGCGUGAUAAGGGUAUCCCAAGUGCAUUACUUAUGUAAUGCUUUUGCCAAGUGUAAAUAGCUUGGAGAAUAAGUGGUGGGCAAUACCGGUGCCAGCAGCCGCGGUAACACCGGAGCCACAAGUGGCGACCAUAUUUAUUGGGUCUAAAGCGUCUGUAGCAGGUUAUGUAAACUUCUUGUGAAAUUGUUGCGCUCAACGUAACAGCGAGCGAGAGGGACUGCAUAGCUAGGAACCGGGAGGGGGCAGAGGUACUUCAUGGGGAGCGGUAAAAUGCUAUAAUCCACGAAGGACCACCUGUGGCGAAGGCGUCUGCCUAGAACGGGUUCGACUGUGAAGGACGAAAGCUGAGGGAGCGAUCGGGAUUAGAUACCCCAGUAGUCUCAGCUGUAAACGCUGCGAGCUAUGUGUUGCGUGUUCUUAGGGGACACGCAGUGCCUAAGCGAAGGUGUUAAGCUCGCCACCUGGGAAGUACGGCCGCAAGACUGAAACUUAAAGGAAUUGGCGGGGGCUCACUACAAGGAGUGCGGCGUGCGGUUCAAUUGGAGUCAACGCCGGGA
rnacentral:rRNA from 1 species